rnacentral:rRNA from 1 species
CGGCGUGCUUAACACAUGCAAGUCGAACGAAGAUAUUUAGAAUGAGAGCUUCGGCAGGAUUUUUAUCUAUCUUAGUGGCGGACGGGUGAGUAACGUGUGGGCAACCUGCCCUGUACUGGGGAAUAAUCAUUGGAAACGAUGACUAAUACCGCAUGUGGUCCUCGGAAGGCAUCUUCUGAGGAAGAAAGGAUUUAUUCGGUACAGGAUGGUGCCCGCAUCUGAUUAGCUAGUUGGUGAGAUAACAGCCCACCAAGGCGACGAUCAGUAGCCGACCUGAGAGGGUGAUCGGCCACAUUGGGACUGAGACACGGCCCAAACUCCUACGGGAGGCAGCAGUGGGGAAUAUUGCACAAUGGGCGAAAGCCUGAUGCAGCAACGCCGCGUGAAGGAUGAAGGGUUUCGGCUCGUAAACUUCUAUCAAUAGGGAAGAAACAAAUGACGGUACCUAAAUAAGAAGCCCCGGCUAACUACGUGCCAGCAGCCGCGGUAAUACGUAGGGGGCAAGCGUUAUCCGGAAUUACUGGGUGUAAAGGGAGCGUAGGCGGCAUGGUAAGCCAGAUGUGAAAGCCUUGGGCUUAACCCGAGGAUUGCGUUUGGAACUAUCAAGCUAGAGUACAGGAGAGGAAAGCGGAAUUCCUAGUGUAGCGGUGAAAUGCGUAGAUAUUAGGAAGAACACCAGUGGCGAAGGCGGCUUUCUGGACUGAAACUGACGCUGAGGCUCGAAAGCGUGGGGAGCAAACAGGAUUAGAUACCCUGGUAGUCCACGCCGUAAACGAUGAGUGCUAGGUGUCGGGGAGGAAUCCUCGGUGCCGCAGCUAACGCAAUAAGCACUCCACCUGGGGAGUACGACCGCAAGGUUGAAACUCAAAGGAAUUGACGGGGGCCCGCACAAGCGGUGGAGCAUGUGGUUUAAUUCGAAGCAACGCGAAGAACCUUACCAAGGCUUGACAUCCCGAUGACCGCUCUAGAGAUAGAGCUUCUCUUCGGAGCAUCGGUGACAGGUGGUGCAUGGUUGUCGUCAGCUCGUGUCGUGAGAUGUUGGGUUAAGUCCCGCAACGAGCGCAACCCUUAUCUUCAGUAGCCAUCAUUCAGUUGGGCACUCUGGAGAGACUGCCGUGGAUAACACGGAGGAAGGUGGGGAUGACGUCAAAUCAUCAUGCCCCUUAUGUCUUGGGCUACACACGUGCUACAAUGGCUGGCAACAAAGUGACGCAAGACGGCGACGUUAAGCAAAUCACAAAAACCAGUCCCAGUUCGGAUUGUAGUCUGCAACUCGACUACAUGAAGCUGGAAUCGCUAGUAAUCGCGAAUCAGCAUGUCGCGGUGAAUACGUUCCCGGGCCUUGUACACACCGCCCGUCACACCAUGGGAGUUGGAAGCACCCGAAGUCGGUGACCUAACCGUAAGGAAGGAGCCGCCGAAGGUGAAGCCAGUGACU